GAUGAACGCUGGCGGCGUGCCUAAUACAUGCAAGUCGAGCGAACAGACGAGGAGCUUGCUCCUCUGACGUUAGCGGCGGACGGGUGAGUAACACGUGGAUAACCUACCUAUAAGACUGGGAUAACUUCGGGAAACCGGAGCUAAUACCGGAUAAUAUAUUGAACCGCAUGGUUCAAUAGUGAAAGACGGUUUUGCUGUCACUUAUAGAUGGAUCCGCGCCGCAUUAGCUAGUUGGUAAGGUAACGGCUUACCAAGGCAACGAUGCGUAGCCGACCUGAGAGGGUGAUCGGCCACACUGGAACUGAGACACGGUCCAGACUCCUACGGGAGGCAGCAGGAGGGAAUCUUCCGCAAUGGGCGAAAGCCUGACGGAGCAACGCCGCGUGAGUGAGGAAGGUCUUCGGAUCGUAAAACUCUGUUAUUAGGGAAGAACAAAUGUGUAAGUAACUAUGCACGUCUUGACGGUACCUAAUCAGAAAGCCACGGCUAACUACGU
rnacentral:rRNA from 1 species